UGAAGGGUUAUAGUUCACCUGUUAUUUCUGUGCAUUUUUAGGAGGGGACACACCAUGCUGCCUUGGCCCAUCAUUUUCCUGGAACCAGACAUUUGGUUAUGUAAUUCCAAAUGUUUUUACAGAGCUGAUGCAUUUUCCCAUUUAUAAAAAAAUGAUGUGUUCUCAUGGCGAUUGGAGAAUAUAAAACCCUAAAAUGGAAAGCAGAGGAGUGACUGGAAAUAAAGCUUUAGAAACUGAAUACAUGGCUGUGAAUGGUAACAACGUCUCUUUCCCAGGGAUAAGGAUCGACUGAGAAAAUCCUCCACAGUGGGUUAGAAGAUGCUAAAGAAACAUUGAAAUAUUUGAGCUACAGACUCAGAUGGCCAAGAGGCUCCAGAGGGGCAGGCCUGGUGAUGAAUGGAGCUGCAGAGAUUGCACCUGCCGAGGGUGAGAGACAGAAAAAUGGCAGAACCUAAACCAGUGCCCCGGCCCCCACCCAGCCUUUGCAAUCACCCAUUGAGUACCCCGUGUCCGGUGACUUGAGAUCAAGACCAAGGAGAAAAGAAAAGUUCACAUGUCAAAAAUAUAUCCACAAGCUUCAACCAAACAAUAACUUCGAAACAUGCCUUUCUCUCUCUCUUGGAAAAGGAUUUCUGAAUGUCGGAGUGAGAUUUGUUACCUGAUGAUGCCUCAGGUCUGUGAAGACUUCUCCUCCCAGGGUCUCGAGGGAAGUGGAAGGAAGUGCCCAUCAGGUUAAUGCUGGAAACCUAGUCCCGUGUGUGACCCGAGGGAACUCGUCAUCGUGCGUUUGACCCCGCCCAGGAGACCACCUCUUCUCUACAGACCCAGCCCAGGAGACCGCCCCUUCCCUGCAGACCCCGCCCAGGAGACCGCCCCUUCCCUGCAGACCCCGCCCAGGAGACCGCCCCUUCCCUACAGACCCCGCCCAGGAGACCGCCCCUUCCCUACAGACCCCGCCCAGGAGACCGCCCCUUCCCUGCAGACCCCGCCCAGGAGACCGCCCCUUCCCUGCAGACCCCGCCCAGGAGACCGCCCCUUCCCUACAGACCCCACCCAGGGGCCAGCCUGUUGCCAUGAGUCAGACUUGCAAACGUCAGAUCACCAUCCCUCAAACAGCCCAGGACACCAAACAAUAACCCCUGUCACAGCCAGCCCCGGGUGGCCAGGCCUUGAUUAGCAACUGAUGACUUCCCUAAUUUUUGUCCCCACUUCCAAUUCAUAUUCCAACUCUAAACAUGGCCCCUCCCCAAUCCUGUCACAGGACACCUGCUUCUGGUCAGCUGCCUCCAGCUCCCCAGGCCAACAGCCUCUGUGGGGGCUCACCUGGAACCUCCCCAUCUCCACCUUGAAGCUUCCCACUCCCCUGCCUGCCUUUGAGGCAAGCGAUGGUGGCCGACUCCUGCGCAAGCUCCAAACAAUGGACCUCUGCUUUCCUCAUUGGGAGCAGGGUCUUCCCUCAUUUCCAAGCCCUGAGCACAGCGGCGGAGUCCAAGCAGCAGCAGCCUACCCCUCAGUGCUUCAGCAAAGCAGAGACACCGGUGGGAGCAGGAGGGCCCAGGCGGAACCUUCUGGAGCAGGUCCUGGAGCUCCUGGCUGGCUCCUGAGCUUCCCCUCUGAGGUCCUGCACAACCGUAUCUGCUGAAUGCUGAGAGGACCAAGCUGGGAAACAGAGGGAGCAGGUCACAGGAUAGGAACUUGGGAAGAAAAACGCUUUCCUUCCCCAGGGGCUCCAGCAGGGUGGCGAGGGGCUGAAAAGAGGGACUGGGUUCAGUGUCCCAUUCAGGGCACAUGCCGUCUCGAAUUGGGAGAAGAGGGUAUUUUUCAGCAUUUGUGCUAAACUUGCGUGUGUACAUAUUCGCUGGCACUUCGGCAGCAGUUGGUUUGCUCUCGCUAAGCGUUAUUUUAUUAUUCAAACCAGAGUUUGGUUCAUUAUCUCUCUGCAGAGCUUCUUGCAGGCAGAACUCCCACACUCCGACAUCGCUGUCCAGAGUCAGUCCUGUGGGACUCUCAGAGUACAGAAAAUUCUGAGAGCUCCGUGAUGAGAGGGAAGGCUCAGCGUGGAAAACAAGGCGGUCCCACUCCUCCGCCUUCAGUUCUCCAGGGCAAGCGGGGCAGAGCUGUCCGAGAUUCUGGGAAUCUUCACUGUUUCUAGUUCAGCACAAAGGUGGGGUGUGGCUUGGAGGUAAGAACCAGAAACAGGACCCUGGGACUCAGGGAACAUCGGUGGGGAAUGAGCUGGGUCAAGGGAGCCAGUCCUGGGCCAGCCCCAGAGGCUGAGUCAGAGGUCAGGCCGGGCCCAGGAGAUCCUGGCCGAGAGCUCCGGGAAGUGCUGGUGCAAGCGGGCUGGGUGUGCAGCCAGCGGGAAUAGUGGGGCAGAGAAGGGGUGCAGAAGGGCCGGCAGGCAGGUAAUAAUGAGAGGAACAGGAGGAGGCAGGUUAUGGCAAGUCACAGGGCCUGGGCAAAGGAGCUGGGGUCAGCAAUAAUAUAGAAGAGAUCAGAGGCCAGACCCCACCCAGGCCUGGCAGAUGUAGGGACGGCUUCUGGAGGAAGUGGGAGCAGACUCCAUGCAAGGGAGGGGCUGGGGAAGGAAGCUCAGGCCCAGGCAAAGAGGCAAGGAAGUCAGGCAGAGGAGAGGCAGGGGUCUCUGGGAGCUGGGGCCUCUCUGGUUCUUUGGGUUUCUGCAAGAUAGAAUGCUGUGUGCUCCACAACUUCUCCUCAGCUACCACCAGACCCUUGGGGGCAUCACAGCAACCCUCAACACAGCCUGCUUUGCUGGACAUGUGCCCUGAACUUUGAGACCCAAGCUAGGGCUUGAUUUAGGCCAUUGUUGUUCACUCAAUCGCCAGGCUCUGCUUAUAACAAUAG